rnacentral:tRNA from 1 species
GGGUCGGUGGUAUAACUGGUGUGUACGUCAGACUGAAAAUCUGAAAGAGGUGGUUCGAUUCCACCCUGACCCACCA